rnacentral:lncRNA from 1 species
GGAACUAACGCCUAAUACAUUGAAGAAGAGAUCAGAAAUGAGCGCAGCAAUACACAUAUAGAGAGACCCCCCUGUAUCUCGCCCCUUGACAGAAGAAAAAGAGCCAUUUCAAUGGCUUCUUCUUAACAAACACCAGCGAAACCUCACUUCCUUCAACAUCCGAUCUUCCCCACCCAUGAAAUUGCACCUUAGAAUUUCCUGAACCAUCACCCUAAUCUCUAAGGCAUACAUAAAAUCGACUAUGAACCAUAGGAGGAGAAGAGGAAACCGAAAAAUCCCUUCCUCUAGGCCUACUACUACCUCCAAUUUUUCAAAAUCAAAGACCCUCAAACUCUGAUUUUCCAACAUUCAAACAUACACACACACACACACACACGGACAGAAGCAGUGACGAGAAGGAGAGAUCAGUGAGGUGUCCGAUUCAAGGUUCUGUCCGCGGAUCUGAUUCGUCGCCAAGGCUCGACGUUCGCUGCUGUGUUAUCCGGCUUGUCGGAGGUUUUUGUUUGUUAAUACAUUGAAGAAAGGUUAGCACAAUUUUAUACACAGUUGAAUUUAAUUGCGUAUGGUUCCUACUGGAUUCCACUUGUUCAUGAACUCAUUCUGUUUAAGUUAAGAGGAAUUGAACUCCAGAUAAAUCGUGAUUUCAUUACUCAUUUUAUAUGAUUCUUCUGUCGGAUUUGUGCAUCCUCAUGCUAGCAUAGCAAUAUAUGUUGAUUGCUCUCAUUAUUUGAUGAAGUAUUCCAUAAAUGGACUAAAGAGAAUUGUGGCAUCAUAUGCUCUAUUUUUUUAGCUUGUUAGUUUCCUGUAAUUGAUCCUGUUAUGUCAUGGUCUGAUUGAAUUUAAAUUCAGAUCUAAAUGCACUCAUUAUAUUCUGUAUUGCCAAGUGAUUACCAUAGUAAUUAAGGAUGGAGAAGGACUCAUGUGAUUGAGUAUUUGGUCGUGUUUUCGUUGUUCUUUUGUUAUGGUUGAUCUGUUUUGCUCGAUUUUUAUUAAGAUGGAAUGGUGGUUGAUUUGUUGUCCUAGUAGAAUUCUGGCGGAUUUGUGUUUUACUGUGGGAUUUUGGCAAGAUUGUUCUAUUCUCUCAUCAUGUUGAGUUGGUCAUAAAGUUUUGAGAUGAAACAUAAGUCGAGUUUCUUAGAGUUGAGCUAUUUUAUAUUGGUCAUAAAGUUGCUCAAAUUUGAGUUAUUUGAUAUUGGUCAUUCUAUUGUCAAUCUUUUCCUGGGUUGGAGUAUUGAAUAUUCUUUGGUGUCUGACUUCUUAAACGAAAAAUGCUAGGCAACCGUGGUUUGAGAUGAAACAUAAGUCAAGAUCUGUUUAUUUUGAAUUCGCUAGGAGCAUGUUUAGGCCGUCGAAACGUGAAUAGAUGAACCUCUGGGCACGUUUAUAAUAACAAUUACCAUAGCUACGGGUACGGUUCCCGUGACGUAGUUGUGAUACUUAAUACCUAACUAGUUAAAUAUGAAUAUCUGUAGUUCAUUAAGUUGAAUGCUUUUCCUUUAGAAUUCGAGGCGUGCCAUUUAAUUGAAUUUUUAUGGCCCUCGCAAAUUUAAAAACGCGUAGUUGCUUUAGGCGCGUUAUUUUAAUAAAUUACCUUCUUAAUCUCGGGUGCGCAUUCAUGUGACCCAAAUCCAAAUCUCAACAAUGUUAGAUAAAAUAUGUCGAGGACCGCGGGUGCAUUUAUGUGACGUGGUUCAAGACGUGUUUUAAUAACAUUGCAAUCUUCCUAAAAAUGAAUAAAAGCAGUUAAUAAGUUAAAAUUGAACUAUAGGCUAAAACAUGUGUUAAGAUCAGAUAAUAGGCCAACAAUAACAGGUGAGCGACCGUGCUAGCACCAAGGGAUCCGGAAUGCCUAACACCUUCUCCCGGGUUAACAGAAUUCCUUACCCGUAAUUUUUGUGUUCGCGGACGGUAAUACAGAGUCAANNNNNNNNNNNNNNNNNNNNNNNNNUUUCGAUUGUCACUUUAAAUUGGAAAAAACUCUUUUAUACCCUUCUAGGGUGUAGGUAAAAAGGAGGUGUGACAACAAUCAUUACUCACCUCGAACCGGUCAAAGCUCUAGCUCGCGACGCCUUUGCCCCUUGAAUCGGCCUCCACUCGCGUCAACUAUAUCCAAAAUCAGAACGAGGACGUCAAAAUAUGCUAAGGGAACGAAGCCCAAACGAAAAUAAUCAAAAUACAACACAAAUCCCGAAAUUAUCAAAACCCGACCCCCGGGACCAUGUUUCGGAAUUCAAUAAUUUUUACAUCAAUAGAUUCCUUAUGUCCCCACGAGUUCAUACAUAUCAAAAGUUCUCAAAUUCAACCUCAAAUGGUCCUUCAAAUCCUCAAGCAAAGGUCUAAGUUUCCAAGCCCUAGUUUCCCCAAUUUUAGCCCUUAAAUUCCCUUACUCAUAGCUCUAAUCCGUGAAAUAAUAGCAUAGGAACGAGUUUUAGGUCCAAAUUCCUUACCUCAAUGAAGUUCCCUUUAAAUCCCUCUUUCAAAUCGUCCAAAAAGCUCCAAAACCGAGUUAAAAAUGGUGAAAUAGCUCAAAAUUCGCGAAGGUCACAAUUUAUACUUUUUGCCCAGACAUUAUUGCAUAUGCGGUCCUUUAACCGCUUCUGCGGUACCGCAUAUGCGAUCCUUCCUACGCUUCUGCGGAAAUCACUUAACUGGUCAACAAUCGCAUCUGCGACCACACCCCCGCAUCUGCAAUGUCGCAGAUGCGGCCACCCUAACCGCUUCUGCGGUCGCUGCUCAUCAGGACUCUUUUCGCUUCUGCGACAAAUCAACUGCACAUGCGGCACCACACCUGCGGUCCCCAAUCCGCAGGUGUGAAGAUACCAGAAGCAGCAAAAUCAGCAACUGCAACAACAUCCAAACUUGUCCGUUAACCAUUCAAAAUCACCCCGAGGCCCCCGGAACCUCAACCAAAAGCACAAACAUGUCCUAAUACCUUAUUCAAACUUGUUCCAAUCAUCAAAACACCUCAAACAACAUCAAAUCACCCAAAACAUAUCAGAUUCAAGCCAAACUUUCUAAAAUCUUCCAAAUUCCGCUUUUGAUCAAAACCUCAACCAAACCACGUCUGAAUGACCUGAAAGUUUGCACACACAUCCCAAAUGACCCAACAGAACUAUUGGAACUCUCAAAAUUCCAUUCCGACCUCUAUAUCAAAAUCUCGCCUACCAACCGGAAAUCGCCAAAAUACCAACUUCGCCAAUUCAAGCCUAAAUCUACUCCGAACCUCCAAAACUCAUUCCGAUCAUGCUCCUAAGUCCCAAAUCACCUUUGAAACUAACCGAACCAUCAGAACUCACAUCCGAGCCUUCUAACACAUAAGUCAACAUCCGGUUGACUUUUCUAACUUAAACUUCCUUAAAAGAGACUAAGUGUCUCAAACCUUACCAAAAUUAUUACGGAUUCGAUUCAACCAACCCGAUACCACAUAACACGGAUAAACAAAGCAUAAAGAAGCAGAAAUCGGGGAAAAUCGAGCGGUAACUCAUGAGACGACUGGCCGGAUCGUCACAUCAGUCCCACAGCCGCGUUCGUGAAGGUUUAGCACUUUCAUGCCCGCUCCCUUCCUUUUUCGUGUUCACGAGCACUGUAUCGCAUUCGCAUAAGAUUAACCAGCCUUUGUUUUGCAUUCACGUCCUCUGCCUCGCGUUCGCGAAGGCCAAACCAGCAACCCCAAAUAUUUCCUCUUCGCGAACGCAGGACUUCUUUCGCGUUCGCGAAGAAGGAAACCAGACACCAGCAAUCAACAACAGCUUUUCAUCCAAAUUCGAUCCGAAACACACCCAGGGCCCUCGGGAUCCCCUCCAAUCAUACAACCCAGUCCUAUAACAUAUCACGGACCUGCUCGAGGCCUCAAAUCACAUCAAACAAUGCUAAAACCAUGAAUCGCACUCCAAUUCAAGCUUAAUGAACUUUAGAAUUUCAAACAUCUAUAUUCGAUGCCGAAACCUAUCAAAUCAUAUCCGAUUGACCUCAAAUUUUGCACAUAAGCCAUAUUCGACAUUAUAGACCUACCGCAACUUCUGGAAUCGGAAUCCAACUCCGAUAUCAAAAAGUCCACUUCCGCUCAAACUUCUCAAAAACCUUCAAAUUUCUAACUUUAGCCAAAUGACUCCAAAAUGACCUACAGACCUCCAAAUCCACUUCCGAUUGCCCUCCCAAUACCAGAAUCAACAUACGAAGCUAUUCCUGGACUCGGAAUCCCAAACAGACAUUGUUAACACUGAAAUGUACUUCAUCCCAAAUUUAUGAAAUUCAUCCAAAAAUGCUGACUUCCAUGGGCGCCAAAAUGCUUCCGCGUCAUCCAAAACCUGAUCCGGACACACGCCCAAGUCCAAAGCCAUCAUACAAACCUACUGGAACCUUCAAAUCCCGAUUCCGAGGUCGUUUACUCAAAAAUCCAAUCUUAGUCAAUUCUUCCAACUUAAAGCUUUCGAAUAAGGAUUCUCUUUCCAAAUCUACUCCAAACUUCCCAAAAUUUAAUUUCGACUACGCGUACAAGUCAUAAUACCUGAAGUGAAGCGACUCAUGACCUCAAACCGCUGAACGACGUGCUAGAACCCAAAAUGACCGAUCUAGUCGUUACAAAGCUUUAGCGCUGGUAUUUUUGGAAUGUUUCCAUAAUCUUCAAAGUCACCUAAUUCGCGGUUCGUCAUGCCUUCACUCAUGGCUUGUCAGAUUCAUCUACGUGCAGCAGAAACUGGACAAGGCCUGGGAGUUGAGUAUGACAAUGCCGCUGCAGCAAAGAGCUAUCCACCUUGUAAGAGAAGCUAGCACCCCAAUAUAUGAAGCUUGGGCAGAAUCUGCGAAAGAAAGGAAAUUAGAUAGCAUAAAUAGAAUUUGAUAUCAGGUAGAAGUAAAUCCAAGACAUUACUAAUUCUUUGCUACUGCUAAUAUGAUUAUGCUUUCACUAAAGGAGAGUUGACGUCAAUUAUUAAAGACAUGACCCAUGUUUUGUACCCUCUUGAAAUUUUGAAAAGUCUUGCAUAAAUUGUCACAACUUGAGCUGCUUUUAUAGGGGGAUGAUUAGGUUAACCCUUUAGAGACCUAGACGGAGUUAGCCUGGUGAAGAUCUUAUGAGAUUUCUAUUCAAUUGUCAACUUUAUAUCUAAGGAAUGGUCUCAUUGUCCACGUGGGUCCCUUGGCUAAUUUUAACACCGUGUAUUGUAUACUGGUCCAAAGAAAGUUAGUGGAUUAAUUAAAAUGAGCUUGUAGCUAGAUUGUUGGCAAUACCAUGUUGGUUGUUGGAAAGUUGCGCAAAAGAUCAAUUAUAAUUAAACAAUUGUCUUGGUCCGCAACCUAAAAGCCAAGUAUUUUUAUGAUACGUGCAACUUGAUUUAUGUGAGAAAUUGAGUCAACUACUCUACGGGUACUUCAAGCCUCGUCUUUACGGUUGAACAAGUCACACGACAAACUUUGAAGUAAGGGACAUUUGUAGACAUGUAAAAUUAUUGAAUUUAGUCCGUACAAAAUUUGAAUUAAAUUCUAAAUCACUUUGUGUCGAAUAAUUAAUUUAUACUUUACAAAUUAAAUAAGUCCAUUUUAAUAUUUGAGCCCAAGGUCCAUUUCAUCUUAAGGCCCAGACUCAUGCCAUGUGUCAAGUGACAUGGCAUGUCCAGUCAAACCCAAAGCCAACAAGAUGAUGCCACGUGUUAAAUGAUGUGGCAAUCCAAGUCAAAAAUCAAGAACCAACCACAGGUUGCCAAAUGGCUAAAAUGACAUGCGCCAAUUAGAAUCAAGCAAGAGAGUUCAUAUGUAGUUGGAUUGUCCACCCUCUACAACUAUAAAUAGAGGGGUUACAUAACUCUCUGGGGACAUUCAGAGUUGGAGAAUAACAUUUCACAAUUGGUGAAAGUAUCCACAAACAGAGAAAUCAAUCAUCAAGUGCAUAGUUCUUCAACAAAGGAGUGAUCAACAGAGUUCUUCCCGAAUAUCAACCCGUAACAACAAAGUGUUGCUCGACGUUCUUGGCGAUUAAAUACAUCACAAGGAGGUCUACAUCGUCCACAUUCGAGAAAGACGCUUCUCAAGCCCUCGAAUCACGGAGUAUUUUAGAGAGGAGAAUCAAGGGAUAGAUAGAUUUGAACUCACAAAUAUUUAUCAACAAAAUUACUUUUUCUUCAUAUUAUUUUUGUUGCAGUUUAUUUUUUGUAUUACGAAAAUUUGUUGCGAACAGGUACUAAACUUUAAUUACUUGUAAUUAGAAGAUGCACAAAUUUUCAAUACUACCUUUAAUUUGACCAACAAGGUCAGGAUCAGGCA